CUCGCUGUUACUGGGAGGUGGAGUGCAGUGGAGACUGGAUUGUGAUUGGAGUCGCAUAUAAAGGACUGAAGAGGAAAGGAGGGCUCUGGACGUUCGGCCUUGGGAACAACGACAAGUCCUGGUGUUUGCGGUGUUCUCGUUCCCAGUACUCUGUGCAUCACAAUAACAAGGAGACUGUAAUCAGCGCCCCCUACAGCCCCAGAAUAGGUCUCGUCGUGCUGGUGAAGGUGAAUUACCGUCAGGUGAAGAAAUACAUCAAAGUGCAAGAUGGGUUCACAUUUGAGGAGUUUCUAAACGAAGAAUUUUCACGCCCAGCUACCUCAACACCAAGUACACGCACCGCUAGACUUUCAAACUCCAGUGAUGUCGAAGGGUGGAGAGAACCCAACUGAACUCGUCUGCAAGCUCAAACUCUAAUAAUGGCAGAGAAAUCACAGGCGCUGAAAAGGCCAAACAGGUCAAUGUGGAUUUAUCUGCCUUCAUGGGUAACUUCUGUGUGUGAUGUCAUCAUACCAUUCCUUCAUAUUAUUUUAUCUUUAAUAAAUAGAUUGUUCAAAAUGCCCUGAAAGAGAAACCUGGUGGUUUGGAUGUUCUUGAAGAAUAUGAGUUGACUAAAACACUGAAGCACAGCACGAGACGACAGCUUGUUAAUGUUCUUGUUAGCCAUAUGGCAGAGGUUCAUGGGUAAGCUAUUGGAGAAUUGAUAAAUCAACACAAUAUCAAGCUUGCUUUGCGUUGUGAACAAUGGCCGGCCGUUCAUCCCGGCCAAUAACCCCAUGCCGCUACAU